UUCUUUAAAAUUAAAAAUUUUGGCGGUAUUUUAGUCUUUUAGAGGAUCCUGUUCUAUAAUUGAUAGUCCACGAUAAAUUUUACUUUACUUUUAAAUUUAUAUAUCGUCGUAGGUUGAAUAUUUUAUUAUUUAAUAUUUUCAGAUCAAGAUAUAGUUUAUAUUAAAGAAGAAAUGGGUUACAAUAAAAAUUUAUAAUAAAUUGGAUUUGAAAGUAAGCUCUAAAAUAUGCACAUAUCGCCCGUCGCUUUCAUUAUAAAAUGAAAUAAGUCGUAACAAAGUAGAUUUAUUGGAAAAUGAAUCUAGAAUGCAAAUUAGAGCUUGUCAAGUUUUUUAUUUACAUUAAAAAGUUAAUUGUUAAAAUCAAUUUAAUUUGAGUUUUAAAAUUAAUUAAUUUUUUAUUUAUUUAUUUAUUUAUUAAAAAAUUAUUUAUUUUAUUUUUAUAAGGAAAAGAGUUUAUUAUAGUAUUUAGUAUUGUGAAAGAAAAUUUUUAAUUAUUAAAAAGAAGAUUUAUAUUAUCGUACCUUGUGUAUCAGGGUUUAUUAAUUUAAUUUUCUCGAAUUUAAAAGAGUUAAUUUUAUUGUUGAAUAAAUAUUUAUAAUUAAAAAUUAGUAAUGAAACGUUAUUCGUUUUUAAAUAUAUCUAGUUUUUUAAGAAAUAAAUUGAAUUUUAAUUAAUUAUUAUUUUUAUUAGGGAUAAGCUUAAAAAUAAAUAAUUAAAAAUUAAAUUUUAUAUUAAAUAUAUAGGAUUAGAAAUUUCUAUUUUUAAAAUAAUGUUAUAAUUAAUUUUUUUAAAUUUUUUAUUAAAAUUUUAAUUUAAAUUUAAUAAAUUAGGUAAUAAUGAUAAAAUUAGUAAUUUAAUAAUAAGGAAUUCGGCAAAUAUUUUUUUCACCUGUUUAUUAAAAACAUGUCUUUUUGAUUAUAAUUUAAAGUCUGGCCUGCCCAAUGAAUAAAUGGCCGCAGUAUUUUGACUGUGCAAAGGUAGCAUAAUCAUUAGUUUUUUAAAUGGAAGCUGGAAUGAAGGGUUUAAUGAGAAAAAAGCUGUCUCUAGAAUUUUAUUUUUAAGUUAAAAAGCUUAAAUUUUUUAAAAAGACGAGAAGACCCUAUAGAGUUU
rnacentral:rRNA from 1 species